CAUGUUUAUAAUUAUGAGCAAAUCACAUUUCGAUGUAGAAUUCAACCCUCAUAAUUACAAAACUUCACUAAAAAGACAUCUAUUGUUGAACUCUGAAGACAUAACUGAAGUUUGUUUCUACUGUGAUAGGCAUUCUGGAAAACACCACCUCAGAUGGAAGAUGAAUGGUGUCCAAUAGGUGGCAUUUUUAUUCUGCUGUUGUUGGAUGGCACUGAAUUGUCUUC